rnacentral:rRNA from 1 species
AGAUUAAGUUAUUAAGGGCGCACGGUGGAUGCCUUGGCACUAGAAGCCGAUGAAGGACGUUACUAACGACGAUAUGCUUUGGGGAGCUGUAAGUAAGCUUUGAUCCAGAGAUUUCCGAAUGGGGAAACCCAGCAUGAGUUAUGUCAUGUUAUCGAUAUGUGAAUACAUAGCAUAUCAGAAGGCACACCCGGAGAACUGAAACAUCUUAGUACCCGGAGGAAGAGAAAGAAAAUUCGAUUCCCUUAGUAGCGGCGAGCGAAACGGGAAGAGCCCAAACCAACAAGCUUGCUUGUUGGGGUUGUAGGACACUCUAUACGGAGUUACAAAGGACGACAUUAGACGAAUCAUCUGGAAAGAUGAAUCAAAGAAGGUAAUAAUCCUGUAGUCGAAAAUGUUGUCUCUCUUGAGUGGAUCCUGAGUACGACGGAGCACGUGAAAUUCCGUCGGAAUCUGGGAGGACCAUCUCCUAAGGCUAAAUACUCUCUAGUGACCGAUAGUGAACCAGUACCGUGAGGGAAAGGUGAAAAGCACCCCGGAAGGGGAGUGAAAUAGAACCUGAAACCGUGUGCUUACAAGUAGUCAGAGCCCGUUAAUGGGUGAUGGCGUGCCUUUUGUAGAAUGAACCGGCGAGUUACGAUUUGAUGCAAGGUUAAGCAGUAAAUGUGGAGCCGUAGCGAAAGCGAGUCUGAAUAGGGCGUUUAGUAUUUGGUCGUAGACCCGAAACCAGGUGAUCUACCCUUGGUCAGGUUGAAGUUCAGGUAACACUGAAUGGAGGACCGAACCGACUUACGUUGAAAAGUGAGCGGAUGAACUGAGGGUAGCGGAGAAAUUCCAAUCGAACCUGGAGAUAGCUGGUUCUCUCCGAAAUAGCUUUAGGGCUAGCCUCAAGUGAUGAUUAUUGGAGGUAGAGCACUGUUUGGACGAGGGGCCCCUCUCGGGUUACCGAAUUCAGACAAACUCCGAAUGCCAAUUAAUUUAACUUGGGAGUCAGAACAUGGGUGAUAAGGUCCGUGUUCGAAAGGGAAACAGCCCAGACCACCAGCUAAGGUCCCAAAAUAUAUGUUAAGUGGAAAAGGAUGUGGCGUUGCCCAGACAACUAGGAUGUUGGCUUAGAAGCAGCCAUCAUUUAAAGAGUGCGUAAUAGCUCACUAGUCGAGUGACACUGCGCCGAAAAUGUACCGGGGCUAAACAUAUUACCGAAGCUGUGGAUUGUCCUUUGGACAAUGGUAGGAGAGCGUUCUAAGGGCGUUGAAGCAUGAUCGUAAGGACAUGUGGAGCGCUUAGAAGUGAGAAUGCCGGUGUGAGUAGCGAAAGACGGGUGAGAAUCCCGUCCACCGAUUGACUAAGGUUUCCAGAGGAAGGCUCGUCCGCUCUGGGUUAGUCGGGUCCUAAGCUGAGGCCGACAGGCGUAGGCGAUGGAUAACAGGUUGAUAUUCCUGUACCACCUAUAAUCGUUUUAAUCGAUGGGGGGACGCAGUAGGAUAGGCGAAGCGUGCGAUUGGAUUGCACGUCUAAGCAGUAAGGCUGAGUAUUAGGCAAAUCCGGUACUCGUUAAGGCUGAGCUGUGAUGGGGAGAAGACAUUGUGUCUUCGAGUCGUUGAUUUCACACUGCCGAGAAAAGCCUCUAGAUAGAAAAUAGGUGCCCGUACCGCAAACCGACACAGGUAGUCAAGAUGAGAAUUCUAAGGUGAGCGAGCGAACUCUCGUUAAGGAACUCGGCAAAAUGACCCCGUAACUUCGGGAGAAGGGGUGCUCUUUAGGGUUAACGCCCAGAAGAGCCGCAGUGAAUAGGCCCAAGCGACUGUUUAUCAAAAACACAGGUCUCUGCUAAACCGUAAGGUGAUGUAUAGGGGCUGAUGCCUGCCCGGUGCUGGAAGGUUAAGAGGAGUGGUUAGCUUCUGCGAAGCUACGAAUCGAAGCCCCAGUAAACGGCGGCCGUAACUAUAACGGUCCUAAGGUAGCGAAAUUCCUUGUCGGGUAAGUUCCGACCCGCACGAAAGGCGUAACGAUUUGGGCACUGUCUCAACGAGAGACUCGGUGAAAUCAUAGUACCUGUGAAGAUGCAGGUUACCCGCGACAGGACGGAAAGACCCCGUGGAGCUUUACUGUAGCCUGAUAUUGAAAUUCGGCACAGCUUGUACAGGAUAGGUAGGAGCCUUUGAAACGUGAGCGCUAGCUUACGUGGAGGCGCUGGUGGGAUACUACCCUAGCUGUGUUGGCUUUCUAACCCGCACCACUUAUCGUGGUGGGAGACAGUGUCAGGCGGGCAGUUUGACUGGGGCGGUCGCCUCCUAAAAGGUAACGGAGGCGCUCAAAGGUUUCCUCAGAAUGGUUGGAAAUCAUUCAUAGAGUGUAAAGGCAUAAGGGAGCUUGACUGCGAGACCUACAAGUCGAGCAGGGUCGAAAGACGGACUUAGUGAUCCGGUGGUUCCGCAUGGAAGGGCCAUCGCUCAACGGAUAAAAGCUACCCCGGGGAUAACAGGCUUAUCUCCCCCAAGAGUUCACAUCGACGGGGAGGUUUGGCACCUCGAUGUCGGCUCAUCGCAUCCUGGGGCUGUAGUCGGUCCCAAGGGUUGGGCUGUUCGCCCAUUAAAGCGGUACGCGAGCUGGGUUCAGAACGUCGUGAGACAGUUCGGUCCCUAUCCGUCGUGGGCGUAGGAAAUUUGAGAGGAGCUGUCCUUAGUACGAGAGGACCGGGAUGGACAUACCUCUGGUGUACCAGUUGUCGUGCCAACGGCAUAGCUGGGUAGCUAUGUGUGGACGGGAUAAGUGCUGAAAGCAUCUAAGCAUGAAGCCCCCCUCAAGAUGAGAUUUCCCAACUUCGGUUAUAAGAUCCCUCAAAGAUGAUGAGGUUAAUAGGUUCGAGGUGGAAGCAUGGUGACAUGUGGAGCUGACGAAUACUAAUCGAUCGAAGACUUAAUCAAAUU